rnacentral:rRNA from 1 species
UACGUAGGGGGCAAGCGUUGUUCGGAGUUACUGGGCGUAAAGGGUGCGCAGGCGGUGGAGCAAGUCUGUUGUGAAAUCUCCCGGCUUAACCGGGAGGGUGCGGCGGAAACUGUUCUGCUGGAGUGAGGGAGAGGCAAGCGGAAUUCCUGGUGUAGCGGUGAAAUGCGUAGAUAUCUGGAGGAACACCGGUGGCGAAGGCGGCGUUCUGGACUGCAACUGACACUGAGGAACGAAAGCCAGGGGAGCAAACGGG